GACGAACGCUGGCGGCGUGCUUAACACAUGCAAGUCGAACGGAAAGGCCCUGCUUGCAGGGUACUCGAGUGGCGAACGGGUGAGUAACACGUGGGUGAUCUGCCCUGCACUUCGGGAUAAGCCUGGGAAACUGGGUCUAAUACCGGAUAGGAGCCAUUUUUAGUGUGAUGGUUGGAAAGUUUUUUCGGUGUAGGAUGAGCUCGCGGCCUAUCAGCUUGUUGGUGGGGUAAUGGCCUACCAAGGCGGCGACGGGUAGCCGGCCUGAGAGGGUGGACGGCCAAUUUGGACAUGAGUUACGGCCCGAGCCCCAACGGGGGGGAACAGUGGGGAAUUUUGCACAGGGGGGGAAAGCCGUAUGCAGCGACGCCGGGGGGGGGAUGACGGCCUUCGGUUUUUAAACUCCUUUCGCUGGGGAAGAAGCUUUUUGUGGCGGGACCUAGAAAAGAAGCACCGCCUAAUUCCGG
rnacentral:rRNA from 1 species